rnacentral:rRNA from 1 species
GACGAACGCUGGCGGCGUGCCUAAUACAUGCAAGUUGAGCGCUGAAGGUUGGUACUUGUACCAACUGGAUGAGCAGCGAACGGGUGAGUAACGCGUGGUGAAUCUGCCUUUGAGCGGGGGACAACAUUUGGAAACGAAUGCUAAUACCGCAUAAAAACUUUAAACACAAGUUUUAAGUUUGAAAGAUGCAAUUGCAUCACUCAAAGAUGAUCCCGCGUUGUAUUAGCUAGUUGGUGAGGUAAAGGCUCACCAAGGCGAUGAUACAUAGCCGACCUGAGAGGGUGAUCGGCCACAUUGGGACUGAGACACGGCCCAAACUCCUACGGGAGGCAGCAGUAGGGAAUCUUCGGCAAUGGGCGAAAGUCUGACCGAGCAACGCCGCGUGAGUGAAGAAGGUUUUCGGAUCGUAAAACUCUGUUGGUAGAGAAGAACGUUGGUGAGAGUGGAAAGCUCAUCAAGUGACGGUAACUACCCAGAAAGGGACGGCUAACUACGUG